GAGAAAAGCAAAGAUGCUCAUUAGAAGUCCAAGUGAUUCCCACCACGCUUUGAGGGAGAGCUCGGAUUCCUUACCCAGAGGCUGAGCAGAGCUCAUCCCCUCCUGGAGAAACGGAGAUAGCUCACACCUUCUCCACACUCAAAAGAGCUGAGUGAAGUUUCAUGACAUUUCCUAGGAAGCCAAACUUAGUGGAACUUUAGAUGUGCCUGGGAACAGUGUCUUCAUGCAAGAUCUUCCCUGCUGAGGACUCUUGACGCUGCUGCAGAAGCAGGUAGACGCAGCUGUGCUUAGAAGGCAAUAAGAUCUCCAGACAACAGACCCAGUGACAUCUCCAGGUGAUCUGAUCUCCUAUAGUGGGUCCCCAGUGGUGGCAUCUUAAAUGAAGACACCAACCAACACCUGCUCCAUCUAUCAACUGAAAACCAAUACCUUGGACAGAAAACAAAAUUCUACUGAUGAAAAAUACUGCUUUGUUGUGUUCAAAGCCUAACACUAAGAUAGAAGAGCCUACUUCUAGAGUAAUUCGUAUAACUCUGUGACAAAUCCACUUCAGCCUUGGUAAUGCCUUUCGUUUUGACUUCAAAACAUUCACUGGCUCUCGCGGAUUUGUGCUAUUUAACACCGAGAUAAAGGUAAGCUGC
ensembl:processed_transcript D030025E07Rik RIKEN cDNA D030025E07 gene